GAUGAACGCGGCGGCGUGCUUAACACAUGCAAGUUGAACGAAACUUUCAGAAACAGAUUCUUCGGAUGACGAUUCUGAAACGUUUAGUGGCGGAUGGGCGAGUAACACGUGAGGAACCUGCCUUUCACAGGGGAAUAACACUGGGAAACCAGUGCUAAUACCGCAUAAUGUAUUAAAGUGGCAUCACAUUAAUACCAAAGAUUUUAUCGGUGAAAGAUGGCCUCGCGCCUGAUUAGCUAGUAGGUGAGGUAACGGCUCACCUAGGUGAUGAUCGGUAGCCGGACUGAGAGGUUGAUCGGCCGCAUUGGGACUGAGACACGGCCCAGACUCCUACGGGAGGCAGCAGUGGGGAAUAUUGGGCAAUGGGCGCAAGCCUGACCCAGCAACGCCGCGUGAAGGAAGACGGUCUUCGGAUUGUAAACUUCUUUAGACAGGGACGAAACAAAUGACGGUACCUGUAGAAUAAGCCACGGCUAACUACGUGCCAGCAGCCGCGGUAAUACGUAGGUGGCGAGCGUUAUCCGGAAUUACUGGGUGUAAAGGGCGUGUAGGCGGCACUGUAAGUCAGAUGUGAAAUCUCCCGGCUCAACCGGGAGCGUGCAUCUGAUACUGCAGUACUUGAGUGAUAGAGGGGAAAGCGGAAUUCCUAGUGUAGCGGUAAAAUGCGUAGAUAUUAGGAGGAACACCAGUGGCGAAGGCGGCUUUCUGGCUAUUAACUGACGCUGAGGCGCGAAAGCGUGGGGAGCAAACAGG
rnacentral:rRNA from 1 species